rnacentral:rRNA from 1 species
GACAGAGGGUGCGAACGUUGUUCGGAAUUACUGGGCGUAAAGCGUGUGUAGGCGGCAAGGCAAGUCGGAUGUGAAAUCCCGUGGCUCAACCAUGGACGUGCACUCGAAACUGCCUAGCUAGAGUCUCGGAGAGGAAGGUGGAAUGCUUGGUGUAGAGGUGAAAUUCGUAGAUAUCAAGCAGAACACCUGUGGCGAAGGCGGCCUUCUGGACGAUGACUGACGCUGAGACACGAAAGCGUGGGGAGCAAACAGGAUUAGAUACCCUGGUAGUCCACGCCGUAAACGAUGAGUGCUAGGUAUCACAGGCUUUGACCCCUGUGGUGCCGAAGCUAACGCGAUAAGCACUCCGCCUGGGAAGUACGGCCGCAAGGCUAAA